rnacentral:rRNA from 1 species
GACGCCAGUCUGCAUGGAGCCGACCUUGAAAUACCACCCUUUAAUGUUUGAUGUUCUAACGUGGACCCGUAAUCCGGGUUGCGGACAGUGUCUGGUGGGUAGUUUGACUGGGGCGGUCUCCUCCUAAAGAGUAACGGAGGAGCACGAAGGUUGGCUAAUCCUGGUCGGACAUCAGGAGGUUAGUGCAAUGGCAUAAGCCAGCUUGACUGCGAGCGUGACGGCGCGAGCAGGUGCGAAAGCAGGUCAUAGUGAUCCGGUGGUUCUGAAUGGAAGGGCCAUCGCUCAACGGAUAAAAGGUACUCCGGGGAUAACAGGCUGAUACCGCCCAAGAGUUCAUAUCGACGGCGGUGUUUGGCACCUCGAUGUCGGCUCAUCACAUCCUGGGGCUGAAGUAGGUCCCAAGGGUAUGGCUGUUCGCCAUUUAAAGUGGUACGCGAGCUGGGUUUAGAACGUCGUGAGACAGUUCGGUCCCUAUCUGCCGUGGGCGCUGGAGAACUGAGGGGGGCUGCUCCUAGUACGAGAGGACCGGAGUGGACGCAUCACUGGUGUUCGGGUUGUCAUGCCAAUGGCACUGCCCGGUAGCUAAAUGCGGAAGAGAUAAGUGCUGAAAGCAUCUAAGCACGAAACUUGCCCCGA